rnacentral:rRNA from 1 species
CCUACGGGAGGCAGCAGUAGGGAAUCUUGCACAAUGGGCGAAAGCCUGAUGCAGCAACGCCGCGUGGGUGAAGAAGGUCUUCGGAUUGUAAAACUCUGUUUUUAGAGAAGAAAGGGCGGGAGAGUAACUGUUCACGUUUCGACUGUAUCUAUCCAGAAAGCCACGGUUAACUACGUGCCAGCAGCUGCGGUAAUACGGAGGUGGCAAGCGUUAUCCGGAUUUAUUGGGCGUAAAGGGAGCGCAGUUGGUCUGUUAAGUCUGAUGUGAAAGCCUGCGGCUUAACCGGCGUAGUGCAUUGGAGACUGGGAGGCUUGAGUGCAGAAGAGGAGGGCGGAAUUCGUGGUGUAGCGGUGAAAUGCGUAGAUAUAAGGAAGAACUCCAGUGGCGAAGGCGGCUCUCUGGACUGGCACUGACGUUGAGGCUCGAAAGUGUGGGUAGCAAACAGGAUUAGAUACCCUAGUAGUC